rnacentral:rRNA from 1 species
UAACCUGCCUUGGAGUGGGGGAUAACAGCUGGAAACAGCUGCUAAUACCGCAUGAUGCAGUUGAGUCGCAUGGCUCUGACUGCCAAAGAUUUAUCGCUCUGAGAUGGACUCGCGUCUGAUUAGCUGGUUGGCGGGGUAACGGCCCACCAAGGCGACGAUCAGUAGCCGGACUGAGAGGUUGGCCGGCCACAUUGGGACUGAGACACGGCCCAGACUCCUACGGAAGGCAGCAG